UAGAGUCUGGCUGAUAUGGUUU
rnacentral:miRNA from 1 species